GACGAACGCUGGCGGCGUGCUUAACACAUGCAAGUCGAACGGAAAGGCCCUGCUUUUGUGGGGUGCUCGAGUGGCGAACGUGUGAGUAACACGUGAGUAACCUGCCCGUUACUUUGGGAUAACUUCAGGAAACUGUUGCUAAUACCGGAUAGGAGCUCCUGCUUCAUGGUGGGGGUUGGAAAGUUUCGCCGGUGGGGGAUGGAGCGGCGGCUUAUCAGCUUGUUGGUGGGGUAGUGGCUUACCAAGGCUUUGACGGGUAGCCGGCCUGAGAGGGUGACCGGACACAUGCGGACUGAGCUGGGGCCCAGAGUGCUACGGGCGGAAGCAGUGGGAAAUAUUGCACGAUGGGCGGAGGCCUGAUGCAGCAACGCCGGGUGAGGGAUGACGGCCUUCGGGUUGUAAACCGCUUUCGCCUGUGACGAAGCGUGAUUGCCGGUAAUGGGUAAAGAAGCACCGGCUAACUACGUG
rnacentral:rRNA from 1 species